UACGUAGGGUGCGAGCGUUUGUCCGGAAUUACUGGGCGUAAAGAGCUCGUAGGUGGUUUGUCGCGUUGUUCGUGAAAACUCACAGCUCAACUGUGGGCGUGCGGGCGAUACGGGCAGACUGGAGUACUGCAGGGGAGACUGGAAUUCCUGGUGUAGCGGUGGAAUGCGCAGAUAUCAGGAGGAACACCGGUGGCGAAGGCGGGUCUCUGGGCAUUAACUGACGCUGAGGAGCGAAAAGCCAUGGGGGAGCGAACAGG
rnacentral:rRNA from 1 species